AAAAAUAGGUUUGUUUUAACGGUUAGUAUUAUCUUAAUAGUUAUUUUACUUAAAUAGGAUUAAUUAGUAAAUAAGACCGUAUUUUAGUGUCGUUCACGGAGAAAGAAUAAAAUUUGGGCUCAAACAACCCAUUUUUAAGCUUAAUUUUCGGACCUAUCCCAUAAUUUCCAAGCCCAUAAUUCCUAAGCCCAUACCCCUUAACCUAAAAAACCCUACAAAAACAUAGACCUAGACCCUAGAGACCUAGGGAGAUAUUUUUGUUUCGCCGUUUUCAUCAGUAAACCCCCCCCCAGCGAGCUUCUUCUUCACAGACCUUAGAAGACCCCUUCUUCUCCAUAGAAACAACCCUAGAACACCACCCUUUUCAGCAACGAUCCUUAGACCCUUAGGACCUUUUUCCGCCGCAGAACACCUAAAAAAUCAGAACCCCACCUGAACUCUUUCUUCUUCGACAAAACAAAACCAACAAAAGCUCCAUUCCCAGCCGUUUCCAUGGAGUCUGAGCUUCAUAAAUGGACGCACACACAGAUAUAAAUGGACGAAUUUUUGGGGUUUGGAAAAAGAGACAUAACACAUAGCGUAAAGGACAGUAACGAAGUGAAAUGAAAGGCGAGAGUUCCGAGUUCUGGUGUAAUUCGAGUUUUUCGGCGAGUUUCAUGUUCGUCGAAGGUCGUAGUCUGAGGUUUUCGGGCAGAUUCGCGGUUCGUCAAAGUCUUGUUCGCGUCUCUGAUUUCCGAUGUGGUGAUCAGAUUUUAGUUUUUUUCUAACUAGAUAGUCAUUGCAAUUGUGUAAAAUUUGGCUGGAAUUUUUCUUUGUUAAUGCAUUGAGGAUGGUAUCUACCAGUGACGGUUCAAACGAAAGAGUUCUGCAUUUGUUCUCAUUUUUAGAUUUUAAGAUUUUUCAAUUUUCUUUUAAACUCAAGAAAAUUGCAAAAAUAUAAAUAUUAAAAAAGAUUGCUGAUACUUCAUUCUUAGUGGUCGGAUUCCGAUUUCUAACUCAUGGGGGUUAGCCUGAUUUUGCGGUUCCGGGUCUGAAUGGCUACUAUUUUCUUGACUGAGUUUUGGAUUUGAAGCCUCGUAUCUAUUGGGUUGCUUAAAUAUUCAAAGAAAUCUACUCAUUGAGGUCUCUCUCUAAAUCUGUUUGCAUUUCAAUUCCUCGAUUUGCUUCUCUCGAUGUUAUAUGAGAUCGUUGCUCGAUUGCCUAUUGCUUUUAGUUUUUGUGAUUGAAAUUGGCUCUGCUUCAUGAAUAAGGUAGGGAACAUAAUUCCCAGAUUUCAAAAAGUAGCGUUUGUGCUCAAUAAGUGUUAAAUUUUGUUCUUUCUUGUAUAAUUUAUUCAAUUUGUAUGGAUGCAAAGAUGAAAAUGUUCCAUUAAGGGGGCUGUGAUUCUAAUUGGUGGUAACACAUUUGAAUAUGUUAGAGUGCUUUAGGCUCUCUCUUAACUAAUUAUAUUAUUGUGAUUGUGUAUACGUUCGCAUGACAUGGUUACGAUUUUUUUUAAAAAAAUCGGAGUAUGCAUUCGCGCAACUUCGGCCAAACCUUUAUUAAUAAUAAUAAUAAUAAUAAAGCAUUAUUAGUUAUGGACACGUUCGCGUGACAUGAUUUUUGAAGCGCCAAACAAAUGGGUACACGUGCACGUGACCUGUUUAAAGAUAAUUUCUUAAUUAAAAGAGGCAAAUGCACAUAUGUUCUAAAAUGAGUAAUUAGACAAUUUGAUUAAGCCAAGUAUGAUCAAAGAGACCAUGCUAAAACCACAGAACUCGGGAAUGCCUAACACCUUCUCCCAGGUUAACAGAAUUCCUUACCCGAAUUUUUGUGUUCGCAGACCGUAAAUAGAGUCAAACUUCCUCGAUUCGGGAUUUUAAACCGGUGACUUGGGACACCAUAAAUUAUCCCAAGUGGCGACACUGAAUUUUAAAUAAAUAAUCCCAUUUUGAUUGUCACUUAAAUUUUAAAAACUCUCUUAUACCCUCUCGGGGUGUAGGAAAAAGGAGGUGUGACAGCUCUGGCGACUCCGCUGGGGAUAAGAACCCCAAACUUCUGGUUCAGGGUUCAAGAAUUCGAGCUUGUUAAUAUGAUCUAUGCUUGACUUUAUUGUUUGUAGAUAUUACUGUAUUUGUGGACCUAAUGUGCUAAUUGCUGUUUAUUUACCGCUUUCAUAUUACUUGAACUGUAUUAAACUGUCUUCUUACGCUACCCCUCUGAGUCUUCUGAAUGGUGCACACGUUUGCGUGAACCACUUUUUCUGUAGAAAUUAUACCAAAUAGAACGAGGCUGGGCCAACAACAAGGCCGGGUAGACUUUAGUGCUCCCGGUACGUUGCCCUCUCUUCGGCUCGAGUUGUCCGCUUGGGUAAGCCAGGUCAAGAACAUAACCCUAGGUUUUAACUUAGAAUAACACAACCUCAUGCCGGAUCCCUAGUAGGAACGUUUGUUUGCAUUACGUGUAUUUGACGUUGGGGACUCAACACAGGGUUUGGGUCCGUCUAGGACAGGUGUACCCAAAAUAACUGACCAUCUUGAUGCAUCCUAUGUGCUACAUGUUGCAUUUCUUCAACGGUAAAAUGGUCAUUUGGCGUAGUUGAGGGCAAAUGAAAAAAGAAAAAAAGGAAAAAAGGAAAAAAAGAGGGUAAAGUGUGAAAAUAAAGCAAGUAGGGCCCAAUUAUGUUUUUUGUCACAUUUUUCUUAAGAAAAAAAGAGAACUUGAAAAAUUCAAAAAAGAAAAAAAGAUUUUACACUUUAUCAUCAUUUUCCGAAAAUAAAAAAUAAAAAAAGAAAAGAAAAUCCAAAAAGAUUUUACAUGUGUCAUCAUUAUUAAAAAAAAGACAAAAAAUAUAUUUUUUCUAAAUUAGUUAUUUUUUUUAUUUCUUGCCCGUAUUCAAUCUGCCCGAACUAUGCACACCUGAUUCUCGUCUUUCGGAGCGAGAUACGUAGGCAACCCACAUAGGGUUCGGUCUUCCUAGUGAUUUUAGGUUUUUGGCUUCGCCGGGACCUAGCCGAAUCUUGCACUUUUAGCCAUAUAGGUUAAUUUUAGAAAAAUAGUUACAAUCAUGUCUUGCAUGUGUCCAAUAUGGAGUGUUAUUGUCUCACAUAGUGUUCUAGGUCUUUAACUUUAUUUGGUCUUAAUUUUCUCAUAUAGGUGUGGGUCUACUUACCAGAGUUUGAGCAUGACAGACGCCCCAAGCCCAUCCAGUCAGGAUCGCUCGUUCAAGAGUUGCUUAAGGAGAUUUUUUAUUUUUUAUUUUUUGU
rnacentral:lncRNA from 1 species